GUACCCCGAGGAAAAGAAAUCAACCGAGAUUCCGAAAGUAGCGGCGAGCGAAAUUGGACUAGCCCUUAAGCUUUACACGUGUUAGACGAACGGUCUGGAAAGUCCGACGAUACAGGGUGAUAGUCCCGUAGUUGACGACGUGUGUUCAGUGAAAUCGAGUAGGGCGGGACACGUGAUAUCCUGUCUGAAUAUGGGGGGACCAUCCUCCAAGGCUAAAUACUACUGACUGACCGAUAGUGAACCAGUACCGUGAGGGAAAGGCGAAAAGAACCCCUGUGAGGGGAGUGAAAUAGAACCUGAAACCGUGUACGUACAAGCAGUAGGAGCAGGCUUUGUCCUGUGACUGCGUACCUUUUGUAUAAUGGGUCAGCGACUUAUAUUCAGUGGCAAGGUUAACCAUCUAGGGGAGCCGUAGGGAAACCGAGUCUUAACUGGGCGUUCAGUCUCUGGAUAUAGACCCGAAACCAGGUGAUCUAGCCAUGGGCAGGUUGAAGGUUGAGUAACAUCAACUGGAGGACCGAACCGACUAAUGUUGAAAAAUUAGCGGAUGACUUGUGGCUAGGGGUGAAAGGCCAAUCAAACCUGGAGAUAGCUGGUUCUCCCCGAAAGCUAUUUAGGUAGCGCCUCGGACGAAUACUACUGGGGGUAGAGCACUGUUAAGGCUAGGGGGUCAUCCCGACUUACCAACCCUUUGCAAACUCCGAAUACCAGUAAGUACUAUCCGGGAGACACACGGCGGGUGCUAACGUCCGUCGUGGAGAGGGAAACAACCCAGACCGCCAGCUAAGGUCCCAAAUUACUACUAAGUGGGAAACGAUGUGGGAAGGCUCAGACAGCCAGGAUGUUGGCUUAGAAGCAGCCAUCAUUUAAAGAAAGCGUAAUAGCUCACUGGUCGAGUCGGCCUGCGCGGAAGAUGUAACGGGGCUAAGUAGUAAACCGAAGCUGCGGCAAUGUGCUUUUGCACAUUGGGUAGGGGAGCGUUCUGUAAGCGGUUGAAGGUGUGUGGUAACGCAUGCUGGACGUAUCAGAAGUGCGAAUGCUGACAUGAGUAACGAUAAAGGGGGUGAAAAACCUCCUCGCCGGAAGACCAAGGGUUCCUGUCCAACGUUAAUCGGGGCAGGGUAAGUCGACCCCUAAGGCGAGGCCGAAAGGCGUAGUCGAUGGGAAACGGGUUAAUAUUCCCGUACUUCUUACAAUUGCGAUGGGGGGACGGAGAAGGCUAGGUGGGCCUGGCGACGGUUGUCCAGGUUCAAGUGCGUAGGCUUAAGAGUUAGGUAAAUCCGGCUCUUUUUAAGGCUGAGACACGACGUCGAGCAUCUACGGAUGUGAAGUCAUUGAUGCCAUGCUUCCAGGAAAAGCCUCUAAGCUUCAGAUUGUAAGGAAUCGUACCCCAAACCGACACAGGUGGUCGGGUAGAGAAUACCAAGGCGCUUGAGAGAACUCGGGUGAAGGAACUAGGCAAAAUGGUACCGUAACUUCGGGAGAAGGUACGCUCUCGACGGUGAAGUCCCUCGCGGAUGGAGCUAUUGAGAGUCGCAGAUACCAGGUGGCUGCAACUGUUUAUUAAAAACACAGCACUGUGCAAAAUCGUAAGAUGACGUAUACGGUGUGACGCCUGCCCGGUGCCGGAAGGUUAAUUGAUGGGGUUAGACUUCGGUCGAAGCUCUUGAUCGAAGCCCCGGUAAACGGCGGCCGUAACUAUAACGGUCCUAAGGUAGCGAAAUUCCUUGUCGGGUAAGUUCCGACCUGCACGAAUGGCGUAAUGAUGGCCACGCUGUCUCCACCCGAGACUCAGUGAAAUUGAAAUCGCUGUGAAGAUGCAGUGUACCCGCGGCUAGACGGAAAGACCCCGUGAACCUUUACUACAACUUGGCACUGAACAUUGACCCUACAUGUGUAGGAUAGGUGGGAGGCUUUGAAGCACGUACGCCAGUAUGUGUGGAGCCGUCCUUGAAAUACCACCCUUGUAGUGUUGAUGUUCUAACGUCGACCCCUUAUCGGGGUUGCGGACAGUGCCUGGUGGGUAGUUUGACUGGGGCGGUCUCCUCCCAAAGAGUAACGGAGGAGCACGAAGGUGGGCUAAUCACGGUUGGACAUCGUGAGGUUAGUGCAAUGGCAUAAGCCCGCUUGACUGCGAGAAUGACAAUUCGAGCAGGUGCGAAAGCAGGUCAUAGUGAUCCGGUGGUUCUGAAUGGAAGGGCCAUCGCUCAACGGAUAAAAGGUACUCCGGGGAUAACAGGCUGAUACCGCCCAAGAGUUCAUAUCGACGGCGGUGUUUGGCACCUCGAUGUCGGCUCAUCACAUCCUGGGGCUGAAGUCGGUCCCAAGGGUAUGGCUGUUCGCCAUUUAAAGUGGUACGCGAGCUGGGUUUAGAACGUCGUGAGACAGUUCGGUCCCUAUCUGCCGUGGGCGUUGGAAGAUUGAAGGGGGCUGCUCCUAGUACGAGAGGACCGGAGUGGACGAACCUCUGGUGUUCGGGUUGUGUCGCCAGACGCAUUGCCCGGUAGCUAAGUUCGGAAUCGAUAACCGCUGAAAGCAUCUAAGCGGGAAGCGAGCCCUGAGAUGAGUCUUCCCUGAUACUUUAAGUAUCCUAAAGGGUUGUCGGAGACUACGACGUUGAUAGGUCAGGUGUGUAAGUGCUGUGAGGCAUUGAGCUAACUGAUACUAAUUGCCCGUGAGGCUUAACCAUACAACACCUAAGGGGUUU
rnacentral:rRNA from 1 species